rnacentral:rRNA from 1 species
UACGUAGGGGGCAAGCGUUAUCCGGAUUUACUGGGUGUAAAGGGAGCGUAGACGGCUUUGCAAGCCAGAUGUGAAAGCCCGGGGCUCAACCCCGGGACUGCAUUUGGAACUGUGUGGCUAGAGUGUCGGAGAGGCAGGCGGAAUUCCUAGUGUAGCGGUGAAAUGCGUAGAUAUUAGGAGGAACACCAGUGGCGAAGGCGGCCUGCUGGACGAUGACUGACGUUGAGGCUCGAGAGCGUGGGGAGCAAACAGG